rnacentral:rRNA from 1 species
AUGGCUUGCUACCCCUGCAACCCUCUCCCCCACCUUCCACAUGACACCACCAUCAUCCCUCCUAGCCCCCUUCGUGCACGUCGUGGCUAUGUAGUCCUCGGAGGAGAACUACCCAUGGUCUACGACGAGUGGGCUGUCGCUACCCUCGUCCCCGAAGUAUCUGUUGAGGAGUUCCAUGGAGCCAUUGCUUUGAUCACCACCUUCCUCGAAGGGCGCGGAUGGCGCAUCAACUACACGUCUCGUUGUGGUAUGGGUACGGCUCUGAUCCAGUUCACCACUGCUUGCUAUAGAGAUACGGCUGUCAGUAGUAGUCCUUUUCGGAUUGGAGACUCUGUUCUGAGGAUCAGUAGGUAUGAUAGAAGUCUGAACUAUCGCAAUAUCACUUUUACUCACGAUGUUUGUAUUUUAAUGAUGAACUUCCCGUUAGAAUGCUGGGACGUAUCAGUGGUUAGUCGCACGGUUUCCCCCUAUGGAAGGUUUCUGAUCUGGAACAAAGAUCCUAGAGAUAAGUCAAGAAUCAUUGUGAAACUCAGAGUUAUGAAUGUUUACACUAUUCCUAUCAGUAUUGUUGUGCUCCAAAACCUUGAUGAUGUUGGCUAUGGGGACUCUUGGACCUGUCCCACAUAUAUACUAUCUAGAGAACUGAUUGGGCAGCAGGGUGGAGAUGAGAACCCACUCCCUCCGGAUGGUGGCAAUCCUCAUCCUCUGCCACAUGUUCAUGGGGGGUUUUGGCGUGAGGAGGUCCUUGGAAAUAUUCCUAUGGACCAGGUGGUUAUCAAUCCACAUAAUGAAAACCUGGGAGCACCAUAUGAGGAUGUGCAUCCAGUUAAUAAUGAUAAUGUCAUUCACAAUGCUGAGAAUGUUGCUAAUGAAGAUGUUGUGAAUAUGAUAUCUGCUGCUCCUGUGAUUGAUGCUCCUGUUAUUGAUAUGAAUGUUGAUGCUCCUGUUAUCUUUGCUGCUCAUAAUGUUGUGCAUGACACUCUUGGGCCUGAUUAUAGCCCACUUGAUCAUGAGAGUCCACAUCAUUCAUUACCUGCUGAUACUAGCCCUAUGUUCAUUCCCCAUAAUUCUAGUAUGAACUACAAUGAUAUCCCUUCUACUAGUACCUCUCAGCCUGUUCAGACUUGCAACAUCUCAGUGGAGGGUCUCACAGAACAUAUUGCUGCACUUCAAGACUUGGUGGGUAACUUGGUUACUAAUGCUCUUAUGCUCAUGAUAUCAUCCCCAAGCUUGUGGGAAACAAGAUCAUUAAUGCCAAAUGCGAUGUGGUUGAUGUGA